CGCCUCGGGAGCCAGGCGGAAUGCGUGCGAAUGGAAAUUUUGUCCCCCGAUUGCGUCAUGUACGAAAUGCGCAAGAGAAAAGUGCGAUGCGAUUUCCCCCUGCAGAUUGGCUUCACGAUUUUAGAACUGAGUAAGUUAACCAUGUACUCGUUCUACUAUGAAACCCUGUUGAGUAAGCUCACUUGUCCGGUGAUUACGUGCUACUUUGACACGGAUUCUCUGAUCCUCGGCCUAUUCUGCAAGGACUAUGAAGAUCAGUUACGCGCGAUCGCCGACGACCAUUUAGAUUUGUCUUCCUUCGAUCGUGAUCAUCCACUGUACAGCGAGAGGAAUCGCGGUAGACUUGGCGCGUUCAAAAGUGAAACGGGUAGCGUACCCAUUGAGGAAGUAAUAUGCUUGAAAGCCAAAAUGUAUUCCAUCAAAUUAGCCGGGGGAAAACAAAUUGCAAGAGCUAAAGGGGUCAAAAAGAACAUUGUGCGCAAACACCUCCUCCAUGAUACGUACCGCGAUACCCUAUUCAAGCACGCUAGCGUAUCGCACGAACAGGUGUCAAUAGUGGGAAAGAAACAGUGCAUGUACACCAUCAGAAAUGUGAAAAGAAGUCUGAUGGCGUACGACGACAAACGAUACCUCUACAAUGACGUAGACUCCUACCCGUACGGAAGCUGCGAAUAUGAUAAUGCAGUGGAUGAGUAGGAGUAGCAUCAUUUGACCUGCGUCACUGGAAGGAUGUGGCACCUCGUUCUCUUCUCGCUCGUCUCGUGCGCGCUGGCGCUGGACGCUGGCAACUGUACUGCGAGCAUCAAGCUGGAGAAGGAUAAGCACACGUACGCGCACGAAUGCCCUGGCGACAUCUUGGCCAUCAGAGAGUGGCACGUGGUACCUAUGCGGUCCGGCAUUAACCUGGACAGGAACGCUACUCGAUCGCUGCGUACGUGCCUUCACUCGCUGGACGUGAGCGACAGCUACGAAGAUAUCCAGUGCACGCGGAUGUGCCAGCUCACGGAGGACGAAAUUUUUCUCAGCCGCUGUCCCGGAGACGUCUACAUGAUCCGUCACUUCCGUGGAACCAUGCCCAGCAUCAAAGGAAUCAAUCUCUCCAAGACCGCCAUGCUUUUUCUCAAACAUGUACUCAAUAAACGUUGAAAGGUA